rnacentral:rRNA from 1 species
UUGAACGCUGGCGGCAGGCCUAACACAUGCAAGUCGAACGGUAACAGGAAGCAGCUUGCUGCUUUGCUGACGAGUGGCGGACGGGUGAGUAAUGUCUGGGAAACUGCCUGAUGGAGGGGGAUAACUACUGGAAACGGUAGCUAAUACCGCAUAACGUCGCAAGACCAAAGAGGGGGACCUUCGGGCCUCUUGCCAUCGGAUGUGCCCAGAUGGGAUUAGCUUGUUGGUGGGGUAACGGCUCACCAAGGCGACGAUCCCUAGCUGGUCUGAGAGGAUGACCAGCCACACUGGAACUGAGACACGGUCCAGACUCCUACGGGAGGCAGCAGUGGGGAAUAUUGCACAAUGGGCGCAAGCCUGAUGCAGCCAUGCCGCGUGUAUGAAGAAGGCCUUCGGGUUGUAAAGUACUUUCAGCGGGGAGGAAGGGAGUAAAGUUAAUACCUUUACUCAUUGACGUUACCCGCAGAAGAAGCACCGGCUAACUCCGUGCCAGCAGCCGCGGUAAUACGGAGGGUGCAAGCGUUAAUCGGAAUUACUGGGCGUAAAGCGCACGCAGGCGGUUUGUUAAGUCAGAUGUGAAAUCCCCGGGCUCAACCUGGGAACUGCAUCUGAUACUGGCAAGCUUGAGUCUCGUAGAGGGGGGUAGAAUUCCAGGUGUAGCGGUGAAAUGCGUAGAGAUCUGGAGGAAUACCGGUGGCGAAGGCGGCCCCCUGGACGAAGACUGACGCUCAGGUGCGAAAGCGUGGGGAGCAAACAGGAUUAGAUACCCUGGUAGUCCACGCCGUAAACGAUGUCGACUUGGAGGUUGUGCCCUUGAGGCGUGGCUUCCGGAGCUAACGCGUUAAGUCGACCGCCUGGGGAGUACGGCCGCAAGGUUAAAACUCAAAUGAAUUGACGGGGGCCCGCACAAGCGGUGGAGCAUGUGGUUUAAUUCGAUGCAACGCGAAGAACCUUACCUGGUCUUGACAUCCACAGAACUUUCCAGAGAUGGAUUGGUGCCUUCGGGAACUGUGAGACAGGUGCUGCAUGGCUGUCGUCAGCUCGUGUUGUGAAAUGUUGGGUUAAGUCCCGCAACGAGCGCAACCCUUAUCCUUUGUUGCCAGCGGUCCGGCCGGGAACUCAAAGGAGACUGCCAGUGAUAAACUGGAGGAAGGUGGGGAUGACGUCAAGUCAUCAUGGCCCUUACGACCAGGGCUACACACGUGCUACAAUGGCGUAAACAAAGGGAGGCAAAGCCGCGAGGUGGAGCAAAUCCCAAAAAUAACGUCUCAGUUCGGACUGCAGUCUGCAACUCGACUGCACGAAGCUGGAAUCGCUAGUAAUCGCGAAUCAGAAUGUCGCGGUGAAUACGUUCCCGGGCCUUGUACACACCGCCCGUCACACCAUGGGAGUGGGUUGCAAAAGAAGUAGGUAGCUUAACCUUCGGGAGGGCGCUUACCACUUUGUGAUUCAUGACUGGGGUG